UACAGAGGUCUCGAGCGUUGUUCGGAUUCAUUGGGCGUAAAGCGCGCGCAGGCGGCUUGGUAAGUCGGGUGUGAAAAUCCGAGGCUCAACCUCGGACGUGCACCUGAAACUGCCAGGCUAGAGGUAGGUAGGGGAGAUCGGAAUUCCUGGUGUAGCGGUGGAAUGCGCAGAUAUCAGGAGGAACACCGGUGGCGAAGGCGGAUCUCUGGGCCUUACCUGACGCUCAGGCGCGAAAGCUAGGGGAGCGAACAGG
rnacentral:rRNA from 1 species